UAAACUUUGUGUAGCGUAUAAGGUUAAUGUUUGUUUUAAAAACAAAAAGUCGAUAGACACAGUUGAAACACCUUUCUUGGUUUUAUGUUAAUGUUCACCUAAUCUUUUAUGGUUAGGGAUAAAUGACUAAUUGGCAGUUUGUCUGGGGCGGACGUCUUUAAUAGAGUAUCAGAGACAUCCACAAGGUAUGUCUUAAAUUGGAUGGAGACCAAGCAAGCCAUGAACGGUAUAAUAAGGUAUAAUGACUUAAGCAUGCUUAACUGAGAGACCCAUAAGUCAAACAGAUACGUAAGUAGGGCAUAAUGAUCCGGCGGUAUA
rnacentral:rRNA from 1 species